GCAAACUUGGUCAUUUAGAGGAAGUAAAAGUCGUAACAAGGUCUCCGUUGGUGAACCAGCGGAGGGAUCAUUACCGAGUUUACAACUCCCAAACCCCUGUGAACUAUACCAUUUGUUGCCUCGGCGGCGUUCCGCUUCACGGCGGGCCCGCCAGAGGACCCAAACUCUUGUAUUUGAAUUGAGUCUUCUCUGAGUGAUACAAGCAAUAAAUUAAAACUUUCAACAACGGAUCUCUUGGUUCUGGCAUCGAUGAAGAACGCAGC
rnacentral:misc_RNA from 1 species